rnacentral:antisense_RNA from 1 species
AAUAACCAAAUAUAACACUUGGGCUAAGGGUCAAGUUGGUAAUUUUUCGUACAUCUCCCCCUCCUGGAGCCCAAGUAUCAUAUACGCCUCCAAAAUAAAGAGCCUUGAAUACUAGAAGAAAAGCACCUAUCCCUAACAAGAUUAAGUGAAUACCCAAAAUUGUGGUCAUUUUAUUUCUAUCUUUCCA